rnacentral:misc_RNA from 1 species
AAGUCGUAACAAGGUUUCCGUAGGUGAACCUGCGGAAGGAUCAUUAAUUACGAUAGCAAUAGCCCCUUCGGGGGUUAUCGCACUCACCCUUUGUCUACAAGUACCUCUUGUUGUUUCCUCGGCAGGCUUGCCUGCCGCCAGGAACCUCUUAAACUCUUUGUAUUUAAAGUAUUCAAUCUCUGAUAACUAUUUAAAUUAUCACAACUUUCAACAAUGGAUCUCUUGGUUCUG